rnacentral:rRNA from 1 species
AUGAACGCUGGCGGCGUGCCUAAUACAUGCAAGUCGAGCGAACGGACGAGAAGCUUGCUUCUCUGAUGUUAGCGGCGGACGGGUGAGUAACACGUGGACAACCUACCUAUAAGACUGGGAUAACUUCGGGAAACCGUAGCUAAUACCGGAUAAUAUUUUGAACCGCAUGGUUCAAAAGUGAAAGACGGUCUUGCUGUCACUUAUAGAUGGAUCCGCGCUGCAUUAGCUAGUUGGUAAGGUAACGGCUUACCAAGGCAACGAUGCAUAGCCGACCUGAGAGGGUGAUCGGCCACACUGGAACUGAGACACGGUCCAGACUCCUACGGGAGGCAGCAGUAGGGAAUCUUCCGCAAUGGGCGAAAGCCUGACGGAGCAACGCCGCGUGAGUGAUGAAGGUCUUCGGAUCGUAAAACUCUGUUAUUAGGGAAGAACAUAUGUGUAAGUAACUGUGCACAUCUUGACGGUACCUAAUCAGAAAGCCACGGCUAACUACGUG